CACUUGUAUAAAAAGAGAGCGCGGGUGGAGGAGUGCCUGAAUGCGGCUGCUAUAAAUGCAACUCAAUCAAGAAAUUAAUUAUUGGAACCCUUUUUCCCCCCCUCAGCAGAUCAACCUUAAGCGACGGUGAUUCGGGGCUUAUAUUUCAGAACUGAAAUGUCAGCCAUGUGAUCUGAGGUAAACAAGUGGUUCGGAGAGGCAAUCGCUCACGAACAAGGAUGACUUGCUUCCUCUUCGGCUCCGUGGUUUUCAGGAUGACUGAUAAG